UAAAGAAUUUCGGUUAUCGAUGGGGAUGCGUUCCAUUAGUUAGUUGGCGGGGUAACGGCCCACCAAGACGACGAUGGAUAGGGGUUCUGAGAGGAAGGUCCCCCACAUUGGAACUGAGACACGGUCCAAACUCCUACGGGAGGCAGCAGUGAGGAAUAUUGGUCAAUGGACGAGAGUCUGAACCAGCCAAGUAGCGUGAAGGAUGACUGCCCUAUGGGUUGUAAACUUCUUUUAUAUGGGAAUAAAACAGGGUAUGCAUACCCUCUUGUAUGUACCAUAUGAAUAAGGAUCGGCUAACUCCGUGCCAGCAGCCGCGGUAAUACGGAGGAUCCGAGCGUUAUCCGGAUUUAUUGGGUUUAAAGGGAGCGUAGGUGGAUUGUUAAGUCAGUUGUGAAAGUUUGCGGCUCAACCGUAAAAUUGCAGUUGAAACUGGCAGUCUUGAGUACAGUAGAGGUGGGCGGAAUUCGUGGUGUAGCGGUGAAAUGCUUAGAUAUCACGAAGAACUCCGAUUGCGAAGGCAGCUCACUAGACUGCAACUGACACUGAUGCUCGAAAGUGUGGGUAUCAAACAGGAUUAGAUACCCUGGUAGUCCACACAGUAAACGAUGAAUACUCGCUGUUUGCGAUAUACAGUAAGCGGC
rnacentral:rRNA from 1 species